CGCUUGUUUGUUCGCCCUAGCUGCUAGUUACCAUACGUCUUCGGCUGUCAUGAAACUUAUUUUUGCCAUCUUUAAACUGUUGUUGAGCGGCAAAUUUGAAGAAAUUGCUUUCCAAAGAAGCAAAGAUUGAAAGACCGAACGAAAUAAUUACUUUAUUGAAAGAGAUACGACGAAAGUUUUGAAUUGUCUGGGCCUGGGGAAUUUCAGCAGAACCAGACGAAGACUAAAGUCAGGAAUAUUUUAACAGCAAGACUCGCGAUGGACUGGCUUCUAAACAACUAUUACAAG